GCCCCAAUGAGUCCAACCUUCAAUCUCCUCAUCAGAGAAACCUUCAUAUUCAAUACUAACAACUUUGGAGUUGAGUCUAAUGUACUUCAACAAUCCAAAAUGUUCGGCGUGUUUGCAGUACGGUCGACUUAAGCGUCUCGUUCCAAACACCACCAAUGACACCUCUAGCAUCGAGCACAAUUGGGACCAUUCCUUUGGAUAUAAUGAACUUGCAAGCCGCUAGGCCGCUUAUUCCAGCUCCAAUGAUGGCCACUUUCUUUUGUUCCAUCAUCUUCGACAUAUUACCUAUUUUUCUUUACAAAGAUAUGUAUACAAAUACAAAUGAAAAUUUGCCAAAUUUAUAGGUGACAAAAAGAGUACAGUGGAAGAGAACUCGAAUAUAACCUUUUGAGUAAUUUUGAUGCUUUGAGAGAUUGAAAUGACUA